AAGCCAGCCAAUGAAUCUGCCUACCUGAUUGUGUUUGUGUAGGCAUACUUUGAAAACUGGCAAUAGUAAAGCCAUGUUACGAGCCUUAAGGACAUUGAAGUCAUUAAGGUCCCUGAAAAUGGCUAUAACA
rnacentral:snoRNA from 1 species